AGUGACUAGAGGGAAGUGGAAAUGGAGGCAGUGAAGAGGUACGCAGAGAAAGGAGGAAGUGGAGACGACAAGAACGUCGGCCCUGCCAUUGAUGAUGGCGGUCCGAUUAAUGUUCUGCGACCACUUUUUCAUUGACGGCCUCAGCUUCGAUCUCACCGAACCAGGUCGUGUUGUCGGUUCCUUCAAAGUCCCUGAAUGCAUGCUGGUACCUCAAUCGCAAUUUAAUGGAUCAAUUCAAUGUUUUUCCUCUGUUUUUCAAUACCCACGACACAAAAUUGCACAAUUUUCUUUAGAUUCUCACGUACUCGAAAGCAGGGGAGCAAUAAAAAUCUUUGAAAAAGAAAUAGAAUUUAAAUUUGACGCUGACCCAUUUCAGAAAAUUAGGCAUCACCCCCUUGUUUGGUUCCUGAGAAAAAUUGACGAAAAUCAGAAGAAUGUUCUAGUGUUAAUCAACUUUAAAGUAACUUGGAAAAAUUGUGUGAUUUACACUACCCUGUAGAUAUAAAGUAACUUGAAACAAUUGAAGUAUUUCAUUCAAAUUCAAUGGAUUUUCGGCCUUUCAAGUUCUCCCCAGCUCCCAUUUGAAUUGAUAUUGAUUCCGAAGUACAAUGUUAUGUCUAGUUGAAAAUUUUCAGACUCUAAACAAAUACUGUUCUCUUCUUCGUGUCUCCCUCCAAAAGUGUUUUUCAUUGAUGGGUUCUUGAUCUUUUGAACUGCUGUAGCUUAUUAUUAGAAUGCUAAUAAUUUCCUUACAUGCUGGGGCCAGGGAAACCCUGGCAGGACUGGUAGGGUGUGCUGUACUAUCCACAGUUGGAGCUCCAACAACUGGAAAUUCAUUCAAUACCUAUAUUUUCCUCUACUUGGAUACUGUUUAUGUUGAUGUCGUGAGCAUAAAAUUGGUUUAUGUAUUGCUGUAUGAUGAAGCUGCAUAAUAGAAUCUGGUUGGAUUAAAGUGAGUUGCCUGGGGUUUAAUGCUGGUUGGAUGGCUAACCAUGGGAACGGGGAACCGGAGGUCAGCUGAUGUGAAGACUGACUCAAACUUGACCAACCUGGAUCAUGAUUUAGGCAGAGAGAUGGUGUAUGGAACGCGGUUGUGCUAUGUGAUUUUGCUACAAAUUCAGGAGCAAGUUGAAGUUGAGUCCAAGGUUUUGAGCGUUGGAACGAUUAUUGGCAUUGUCUCUGUUGAGCUGAGGAAUAAAGAAACUGGGAAGAUUCUCGUGCACACAUGCCAUUCCCGGUACUUUGAAGAUGGUAGUAGUAGAAGUCGAUUGUGAAAAAUUGCAUCUGACCAAUUGUAAGAAUUUUUCAUCACUUUGUCAUUCAUUGGAGUAGUAGGCCAUCUUUGUUUCUUCUGUUCCUUGUCAAAUGAACUUAGAAAUGAUUCAU